UGUGUACAGCCCUCCCUCCGGUAGUUUCCUGUGACCGUACUUGUGUAAUUUCUGUCAGACAGCAGAAAAACAUUUCGACAGGGGAGACGGAUACGUCAAAUUUGUGGACCUUAAAAGAACCUGGGUUAAAAUGCUCUCUUCUAUUGUCGCGAAAAGGCUGGUAACCGGGAUGUGUCAGGCUGCUUGGAGACCAGCAAUCACAGGGCUGGUGUCAUCUCGUGGUUACCGCGGGGACUCUCCCGAAGACACAAAGGUUGACCUGAUUGAGAUCCCUUUGCCCCCUUGGAAGGAAAAUCCAAGCGAGCCCAUCGACAUCAAGAGACGCCGCCUUCUCUACGAAAGCCGCAAAAGGGGCAUGUUGGAGAACUGCAUAUUGCUAAGCCUUUUUGCAAAGCGAUACCUGAACACAAUGACUGAGAACCAGCUAAAGCAGUAUGACAGGCUGAUUAAUGAACCAAGUAACGACUGGGACAUCUACUAUUGGGCAACAGAGGCUCAGCCCACCCCUGACGUCUACCAAGGAGAGGUCAUGGAUAUGCUGAAGGAGUUCACAAAAAACCGCAAUCAUGAACAGAGGCUGGACGCGCCCAGCUUGGAGUACUUGGAGAAAGAAAACCAGUGAGGUCUUUGGCCUGCCAGGCCUUUUACAGAGACUCAUUAAAUGAGGGUUUCGGAGUGAAUCACCACCUGCAGCAGCACCCCUAGUGCGCCUCUUGUCUUCCAAUGCCUGCUGGAGAGCUGUGCGCAUAAGAAAAGUGUCGAGCGAGGAGGCAUGCCCGGUUUUAUUCUGAAGACGGAAGUGUUAGAUAAGUUGGUAAAUUGAACACCCUCUGUCAUCAUUACAUGCAUGCACACUUGCAGUGAGACAGUUUAGUGUGUAGGAGGCAGAGCAGGCAAUUUGCUUAAUUCUAGAGAUCAGUGCCGAUUCUAAAGAUCCAUGUUAAUUACCCUUAAAACCAAGCCUCUUUUUUGUUGUUGUUGUUGUUGUUUGCCUGAGCUGAAGGAAGAGGAAAGCAGGGAGCAAAUGUGAUUUUAUGUAUUUCCACCAUUGGAUGAAUUAACUGAACUUUUAUCUGCUGAUAUGUGUAUUUGGAAUUAAGCUUCUACACAGAGGUGGAUGGAAUCAACACCCAAAACUCUUUAGACAUCUUUGGACGAAAACUGCACAUUAAGAGCUCUUUGCAAACAGACCUCUGUUACGUUAGAUAGCAUUUUGAUGUUGGCUGGGUAGCCAACCAGCCACAUUGUUUGUGUUAUUUUACUGACAUAGAUAAUCAUAUUGCAAACCUUUAGGUUGGUCUUGCAUAGAACAAUUUAAUUUAUGGUACUCCCCUUCAAGCUAGAGCUACAUGCGUAUUAUUUUCAUACAUAAUGUUCUUCAGACCAGCUACUUUUUUUCUCAAACUUGAAGUACAUAAAACAGACAAUACUUCUGUAAUUUUGAUUAAAUUGGAUUAUGAAUGCAUUCCAUUUUCUUAACUGCUUAUUCAGCUUAGAGUCACUGAGGAGCACACAAGG